rnacentral:rRNA from 1 species
GGAAUUACUGGGCGUACAGCGUGCGCAGGCGGUUUUGUAAGACAGUGGUGAAAUCCCCGGGCUCAACCUGGGAACUGCCAUUGUGACUGCAAGGCUAGAGUGCGGCAGAGGGGGAUGGAAUUCCGCGUGUAGCAGUGAAAUGCGUAGAUAUGCGGAGGAACACCGAUGGCGAAGGCAAUCCCCUGGGCCUGCACUGACGCUCAUGCACGAAAGCGUGGGGAGCAAACAGGAUUAGAUACCCUGGUAGUCAAGGGCG